rnacentral:rRNA from 1 species
UGGGGAAUAUUGCACAAUGGGCGCAAGCCUGAUGCAGCCAUGCCGCGUGUGUGAAGAAGGCCUUCGGGUUGUAAAGUACUUUCAGCGGGGAGGAAGGGAGUAAAGUUAAUACCUUUGCUCAUUGACGUUACCCGCAGAAGAAGCACCGGCUAACUCCGUGCCAGCAGCCGCGGUAAUACGGAGGGUGCAAGCGUUAAUCGGAAUUACUGGGCGUAAAGCGCACGCAGGCGGUUUGUUAAGUCAGAUGUGAAAUCCCCGGGCUCAACCUAGGAACUGCAUCUGAUACUGGCAAGCUUGAGUCUCGUAGAGGGGGGUAGCAUUCCAGGUGUAGCGGUGAAAUGCGUAGAGAUCUGGAGGAAUACCGGUAGCGAAGGCGGCCCCCUGGACGAAGACUAACGCUAAAGUGCGAAAGCGUGGGGAGCAAACAGG